rnacentral:misc_RNA from 1 species
CAAAAAUCGUCUCUGAAGGCGAAAUGACCAAAAUGCCCUCCGUUUGGCUUAACGGGUCAAAAUUGUCUGUACCGAUUGAAAAAUUUUUCUAAGCAUUUUCUUGGCAUUCUAAUGCCAUAGGAACCUCAAUGACCCUUCUCUGGAGUCCCAAAAAUUAUUUUAUAAUUUUUCCCCCGGGUCUAGGGCUCCUCGUUGCGAGAACCGCAACUUCCCUCUGGUUACCCAUCGCUUGGGCACCGGCUCGUUUUGCUUGGUUGUAUUUUAUUUCUAAAAUUUUUCCUAAAUUUUUCUUAUUAAUAUUUGAGUUAAUUAUGGUUCCUCACUUUAGUUUAAAUAUUUUUCCGGACGUUCUAGCUGUCCGGACCGACACCGGUCACCGUAACAGUAGAAUGUACAGAAUUGCUACAAUGAGAGUGUUACAACUCUUCCCCUCUAAUUUAAAUUUCGUCCUCGAAAUUUACCUGAUGCAAACAGUUGAGGGAACUAUUGCCUUAUCGUCUCUUCACUUUCCCAAGUUGCCUCCUCGGUGUUGUGGUGCCUCCAAAGCACUUUCACCAGUGGAAUCUGCUUAUUCCUUAACUCUUUCACUUCUCGAGCCAGGAUCCGUAUGGGUUCUUCUUCAUAUGUCAAAUCCGGUUGUACUUUAAUUUCUUCCAUGGAGAUGAUAUGUGAAGAAUCUGAGCGGUAUCUUCUUAGCAUAGAUACGUGGAACACAUUGUGGAUCUUGUCCAGCUCUGGUGGUAAAGCUAGCCUAUAGGCCACUGGACCCACACGUUCAAUGACUUCAUAUGGGCCAAUGAACCUAGGGCUUAACUUACCUUUUCUUCCAAACCUCAAUACCUUCUUCCACGGUGACACCUUGAGGAACACUUUGUCGCCAACUGCAUAUUCUAUUUCUUUUCUCUUCAGGUCGGCAUAAGAUUUCUGUCUGUCUGAGGCAACCUUCAGAUUGGCUUUAAUUAGCUUUACCUUCUCCUCAGUCUGUUUCACCAGGUCUGGCCCUACCAGUUUGUCUUCGCCCAAUUCAGUCCAGCACACUGGAGUUCUACAUUUUCUCCCAUACAGUGCUUCAUAUGGGGCCAUUUGGAUGCUAGCUUGAUAGCUAUUGUUGUAUGCGAAUUCUGCCAGUGGGAGGUAUCUAUCCCAACUUCCCUCAAACUCAAUGACACAACUCCUCAGCAUAUCCUCAAGGACCUGACAAAUAUUUCAUGUUAUUGUUAUCAUUUCAAUUCAAUAUUUGUAUCAAUUUCGUGGGUUUCAAUUGUUUACCUGGAUUACUCUUUCUGAUUGCCCAUCUGUCUGAGGAUGGAAAGCUAUGCUGAAAUGGAGUUGUGUACCCAAGGAUUCAUGCAACUUCUUCCAAAAUCUCGAUGUAAACCUUGGGUCUCGAUCAGAUAUGAUGGAAAGUGGAAUUCCAUGCAGUCUAACUAUCUCACUGAUAUACAAUUCUGCUAACUUCUCCAGUGAGUAGUCAGUCAUAACUGGCAGAAAGUGUGCUGACUUUGUCAAUCUAUCCACUAUUACCCAUGCUGCAUCAUGUUUCCUCUGGGUGAGAGGCAGACCACUUACAAAAUCCAUGGUGACCCGAUCCCAUUUCCAUUCAGGUAUGCGUAUAGGCUGUAGCAAACCCGAUGGAACUUGAUGUUCUGCCUUGACUUGCUGACAUGUCAAGCAUUUAGUCACAUAGUCAGCUAUGUCCUUCUUCAUACCAGGCCACCAAUAAUGAAGCUUCAGGUCAUAAUACAUUUUUGUACUUCCUAGGUGCAUGGCAUAAACACUGGUGUGUGCCUCUUUUAGAAUACUGGCCUUCAAUUCCCCAUCAUCUGGUACACACAGUCUUCCUUUGUAGUACAGACACCCAUCUGCUUUCACCUCAUAGUCAGUUGCUUUUCCCUCUGAGAUCUUGCUCAUAAUAGCCAGUAACUUUUCAUCUGUCUUUUGCCCAUCUAGUAUCUGCUGUAGCAGGUUUGGCCUCACUUGCAACUCAGCCAAAAUAGCUCCAUCUCGAAUCAAAGAUAGAUGGGCAUUCAAUGAUCUCAAGGCUGUCAUGGAUUUUCUGCUCAAAGCAUCAGCAACUACAUUUGCCUUCCCAGGAUGGUAGUCAAUUACACAGUCAUAAUCCUUCAGGAACUCAAUCCAUCGCCUCUGUCUAAGGUUGAGCUCCUUCUGGGUUGGCAAAUAUUUUAGGCUCUUGUGGUCUGUGUAAACGUAGCACUUUUCACCAUACAAAUAAUGCCUCCAUAUCUUCAGUGCGAAGAUAAUUGCUGCAAGCUCUAGAUCAUGGGUAGGGUAGUUCUGUUCAUGUGGCCUUAGCUGUCUGGAAGCAUAGGCGAUCACUUUCCCCUCUUGCAUCAACACACACCCUAACCCAUUAUGAGAGGCAUCACUGUAAACCACAAAAUCCUUCCCUGACACUGGCUGUGUUAACACUGGUGCCUCUGUCAACAUAGCCUUUAACUUCUCAAAACUGGUCUGGCACUUGUCAUUCCAGUCAAAUCUGACAUUCUUGUGUAACAACUUGGUCAUUGGAGCAGCUAUUAGGGAAAAUCCCUUCACAAAUCUUCUGUAAUACCCAGCUAGCCCCAAGAAGCUUCUGACCUCAGUUGUAUUUCUGGGAGGCUUCCAUUCCAUCACUGCUUCUAUUUUCUUGGGAUCCACCCUAAUCCCAUCAGCUGACACUAUGUGUCCAAGGAAUGCAAUCUCAUUCAACCAGAAGUCACACUUGGACAACUUAGCAUACAGCUUCUUUUCUCUCAGGGUUUGCAGAACAAUCCUCAAAUGCUCAUCAUGUUCUUCCCUGGUCUUGGAAUACACCAAAAUAUCAUCAAUAAAGACCACUACGAACCGAUCUAAGUGUGGAUGGAAGAGACGGUUCAUAAGGUCCAUGAAUGCCGCUGGUGCAUUUGUUAGGCCAAAGGGCAUCACUAGAAACUCAUAAUGCCCAUAUCGGGUCCUGAAUGCAGUCUUUGGCACAUCUGCAUCCUUCACCCUCAACUGAUGAUACCCUGAUCUGAGAUCAAUCUUAGAAAAUACUCCUGCUCCCUUCAACUGAUCAAACAGAUCAUCAAUUCUAGGCAACGGAUAUUUGUUCUUCACAGUCACUUUAUUCAACUGCCGGUAAUCAAUACAUAGCCUCAAAGUCCCAUCCUUCUUCUUUACAAACAGCACUGGAGCUCCCCAUGGUGACACACUGGGGCGUAUGAACCCCUUAUCAAGCAACUCUUGCAACUGAGUUUUCAACUCCCUCAAUUCAGUGGGUGCCAUCCUAUAAGGAGCAAUGGAAAUGGGUGCUGUACCCGGCAGUGUCUCAAUAGCAAAUUCAACUUCCCUUUCUGGUGGCAAACCAGGCAACUCUUCAGGAAAUACCUCUGGGAAGUCUCUCACUGUGGGUAUGUCACUCAAGUUUGGCUUAGCCUGCCUAGUAUCCACCACAUGUGCUAGGUAGGCUUCACAGCCUUUUCUCAUCAUUCUUCUUGCAACUGUGGCUGAGAUGACAUUGGACAAGAAAUCUGUCCUUUCCCCCACAACUGUGAUCUCAUUACCCUCUGAAGUUUUUAGAGAAAUUCUCUUCAAUUUGCAAUCAACUAUUGCCUGAUGACGUGACAACCAGUCCAUUCCCAAAAUCACGUCAAACUCAUGGAAAGGCAACUCAAUCAGGUCUGCCAAGAAUUCAUACCCCUGAAUCCUUAACGGGCAACCCUUGUAUACUUUGUUCACCACUACACUGUGGCCCAAUGGAUUAGUGACCAGAAUGUCUUGGUCACUCUCCCCUACUAGUAUCCCCCUUUCUACGGGUAGGUUGAUGCAGAUGUAUGAAUGAGUGGAUCCUGGAUCCACCAAUGCAUGCACAGAUGUAUUGUAGAGGGAGAACGUACCCCUGAUGACGUCCGGGGCA